CAGCUGCCUUGUUAUCACCAGCAACCCCAGCCCUGGUCAGUAUUAUUUCUGCUAUGAAAGGUGUUGAAGCAUGGCCUCACAGGACUUUCAUAAACACUUGGAGGCAGGGACUGUGUCUCAUCAAUUUUUGUAUCUUUGGUACCAUCUAGUAAGGUGCUUUGUACAUAGUAGGUGCUUAAUAAAUGUUUAAAUUUAGUUGUCCUACAGCCCCACAAAGUUAUGCUCCAUUUGCCACCAUGUGAUAUUUUUGGAAAACAAUACUGAUCUGGAUGCCAGCUGUAUAUAACUUUGGGCAACACUCUCCAUCUCUCUUGUCUUCAUUUCCUCUGUAAAAUGAAGUGUGGAUUAGAUGCUCUUUAAGUUCCCUUCCAACUCCAAAAAGUUGCAAGCCUGAGAUUCUAGAUCGUUUCCAUUGUUUCCAAACAUGGGUGAGUAAUGCCUCCGCUCAACUCCAUUUCUCUCCAGAAGACUGUGCAGAGGAAGAGAUCUGAAUAGUCCACUGACAGUUAUUUGUUCCUCUUCAGCAGUUUUUACUGUCUUCAGAAUAGUUCUGGAUGAGCAGCCUUUUCUGAAAGGAUAUUUUAAAAUAUGGUAUAUAAUAUUUUUCUCCUCAGAACCCAUGGGGAAGGAGGGGAGGAAAUGCAAAGAAGGAAACUUAGCACAGUAAACACAAUGUUUUUCAUAGGUUUUUAUUUAAAAUUUGUGUGUGUUUGUGUUUCUGAGCACAUGCUGACUAGGUAACAGAAAAAUCAAUCAGAAGUGCACUAUGCAAUUGAGAGAAGCUGGCCCAGGAUUAAAAACUUCCUAUGGAUUAAUGUGGAUAGAUAGGAAUUGGCCAUACGGUGAAAUGAGAUGGAUAGGAAAUGUGCUUUUUGAGGAAAUUUUAUUUUAGUACCAAAUGUUGCCAGUGACAAUCUUUAGUUAAAAUUAUUCAGACUUAAGAUUCUUAUCCCUGCCAUUUGGGGUUUUUUCAUUUUUUUUUAAACCUGUAUACAUGAAGAAUGUUUAUAUUUUAUGUCUUUAUGUUAAUUCUGUUUCAUCUGUUCAAGGAAUGUGAAUCAGUGGCAUAUUUCAUUGCAUUUAAAAAUGUAAAAUACUUGCAUGUCACCAAUGUGUAAUAUCUUACCAGUUCAGAUGCCUGUAAUGUGUAACCUGAUGUGCACGUGUAUUGUUUUGAAGAGAAUAAAGGAAAUAGUACUUCAGUAAAGUCUUUUACACUUAUAUUGGCAACAUUUAUUUAACUAAGCAGUUAUUGAAAAACUGCACACAGUUUCAUUUUUCAUUUGAAAGGUUUUGAUCAAAGCUAGACAGUUAUACUAGGGAAUUAAAGACUGAUAUGCCCUUUAAAUGUGAAGUUGAAUAUUGUGUGGAAAGUAAAUGUGUGAUAAAGCAAAAUGUAUGGAUUGUGAAGUACUUUUGCCCUGAUAAUUAAUAAGGACCCCAGUUGGCCCGAAUAGUUGCAAUUAUUUGACCCUUUGGAAUUAGCCAGCCAGAUCUAAUGCUAAGGUAAAUGUAAGCUGUUUUAAUUAAUCAAGAUCUUUCUGCUUUCAAAGAUAUAAUUUCAUUUGUGUUCAUUUGUGUCUGGAAUGAUAUUUUCAAAUGAAAAUGUUAAGAACAUUGGGAAUUAAUAAACUUUCCUUUCAAAGAGAAA